GGGGAUUUAGCUCAGUGGUAGAGCGCUUGCCUAGCAAGCUUUAAAGCCCCGGGUUCAGUCCCCA
rnacentral:tRNA from 1 species